AGCGAACGCUGGCGGCAGGCCUAACACAUGCAAGUCGAACGAACUCUUCGGAGUUAGUGGCGGACGGGUGAGUAACACGUGGGAACGUGCCCUUUGGUACGGAAUAACUCAGGGAAACUUGAGCUAAUACCGUAUGUGCCCUUCGGGGGAAAGAUUUAUCGCCAUUGGAGCGGCCCGCGUCUGAUUAGCUAGUUGGUGAGGUAAAGGCUCACCAAGGCUACGACCAGUAGCUGGGCUGAGAGGAUGAUAAGCCACAUUGGGACUGAGACACGGCCCAAACUCCUACGGGAGGCAGCAGUGGGGAAUCUGGCGCAAUGGGCGAAAGCCUGACGCAGCCAUGCCGCGUAAAUGAUGAAGGUCUUAGGAUUGUAAAAUUCUUUCACCGGGGACGAUAAUGACGGUACCCGGAGAAGAAGCCCCGGCUAACUUCGUGCCAGCCGCCGCCGUAAAAC
rnacentral:rRNA from 1 species